AAAAUGACCCCGUAACUUAGGGAUAAGGGGUGCCACCAUCAGGUGGCCGCAGAGAAUAGGCCCAAGCGACUGUUUACCAAAAACAUAGGUUUCUGCUAAGUCGCAAGACGAUGUAUAGGAGCUGACGCCUGCCCGGUGCUGGAAGGUUAAGGGGAUCUGUUAGAGCAAUCGAAGCAGUGAACUUAAGCCCAGUAAACGGCGGCCGUAACUAUAACGGUCCUAAGGUAGCGAAAUUCCUUGUCGGGUAAGUUCCGACCCGCACGAAAGGCGUAACGAUUUGGGCACUGUCUCAACAACAGACUCGGUGAAAUUGUAAUUCCGGUGAAGAUGCCGGAUACCUGCGACAGGACGGAAAGACCCCAUGGAGCUUUACUGUAGCUUGACAUUGGGUCUUGGUACUACAUGUACAGGAUAGGUGGGAGGCUUUGAAACCAGGACGCCAGUUUUGGCGGAGCCAUCCUUGGGAUACCACCCUUGUAGUACUGGGACUCUAACCAUAGGCCAUGAAUCUGGUCUUGGGACACUGUCAGGUGGGCAGUUUGACUGGGGCGGUCGCCUCCCAAAAGGUAACGGAGGCGCUCAAAGGUUCUCUCAGUACGGUCGGAAAUCGUACGUAGAGUGUAAAGGCAAAAGAGAGCUUGAUUGCAAGACAUACAGGUCGAGCAAGGAUGAAAAUCGGACUUAGUGAUCCGGUGGUUCUGCGUGGAAGGGCCAUCGCUCAACGGAUAAAAGCUACCCUGGGGAUAACAGGCUUAUCUCCCCCAAGAGUCCACAUCGACGGGGAGGUUUGGCACCUCGAUGUCGGCUCAUCACAUCCUGGGGCUGUAGUAGGUCCCAAGGGUUGGGCUGUUCGCCCAUUAAAGUGGUACGCGAGCUGGGUUCAGAACGUCGUGAGACAGUUCGGUCCCUAUCCGUCGCAGGCGUAGGAAAUUUGAGAAGACCUGUCCUUAGUACGAGAGGACCGGGAUGGACGUACCUCUGGUGUACCAGUUGUCCUGCCAAGGGCAUGGCUGGGUAGCUAUGUACGGAAUGGAUAAGCGCUGAAAGCAUCUAAGCGCGAAGCCAACUUCAAGAUAAGAUUUCCCACCGCAAGGGUAAGACCCCAGAAAGACUAUCUGGUUGAUAGGUCGAAGGUGUAAGUGCAGCAAUGUAUUUAGCUUAUCGAUACUAAUAGGUCGAGGACUUGACCAA
rnacentral:rRNA from 1 species